CUGGUUACUUUCUAACCAGCCUGGUUCUGCUGCGGACUUCUUUAUCCUCCUCCCACCUAUCUUCCUGCCUCAUUGGCCAGAAGGUGUUUUCUUCAUCAAUUAAUACUAGAAACAUAAGCACAGAAGUGCAUACCCCAUCAUGCUUUUCCAUGUCCUGUCUUCCUCAUUUUAGAAUCAGAAUAUUUGUAUCAUUACUUGUUGAAAGUGGAUGAUUUGACUUUUGGUUUUAUAGGGCCCCUCAACUAACAGACCACCUUGAAUCUCAGAUGAGUCCAUAAAGGAAAAGAAUAACAUCAUAGGGAUUAAGCUAAAAAGCUAACAUUGGCCCUACAUGCAAGAAACUCCUAUGAACAAAGAACAAAUACUAUCUUUACAGCAGACUCCAAGAUCUAGAUUCACUAUGAUCUGUCUUGGAGCAAAAUUUAGUAGUUACGUUGGUGGGCUGAAAGGUGGCCUACAGUGAAUAGGAUAGAAAAGCAGUUCGGGAAUUGGGAAGAGGAAGGAGUAACAGGUGUUGACAGGGCAUCUGGGAAGUGCCCUUAAAGAGUCACAGAAGGCAAAACUAGGAAGAUCUACAAUCCCAUCGUCUAUGGAGGUUGAGGCAGGAGGAUUUUAUGUUCCGGGUGAAGUUAAGAUACAGUGGGGUCAAAGCUAAUCUGUGCAAAUGAGAACUCACCCCCUAAUGAAACGUAAGACACUAAAAGAUUGGUGAGUACAUCUCAGUGGUGAGUGCUUGACUGACAUGUGUGAGGACCUGAGUUCAGUCUCCAGGACUGUGAAAAAUAGAGGUCUAAGGCUGAGUAAAAACAAAACAAAAUACCCCCCUGGAAGUCUUAAGUACACCAUCAAUACAUAACACUAUGAAACUGAAUGAAUCCAUAAUUAAUUAUCAUUUUAUACCCAGAGAUAACAUUCUGAAGUAAAAAUCGCAACUGAGGCAAUAUUUCAGUCUGUUGUCCUUUUUUCUAGCAUCUCUUCUGUCACUGACAACCCUUCCCCUCCCACAGCAACACUUUCAGUUAAGAGUCUCAGGCAGUUUCUGAUGCCUUCCUUUCUUCUUCUGCCCAAGGGUCCCCUUGGAAAUGGAAAAGAAGAGGGGAGAAGAUGUAGGGGGAACUAGGCCCUGCAGGCAGCACUUUAUACUUCUCUUGUAGGAUUGCUGAUGAGAAGGGGAGUGUAUAUGGCCCUCCUGUGAGCCUGGGGCACAGUCUUGAGAAAAGCAGCAAAGUCUUUUGAAUGCUUGGUGACACCAAAAUGAAGAUUUGUGAGAUAUAGCUGAUUAUCUUGAUAGAAAGGAAAUAUUGAGUGUUAAUUUGUUCCUAUUAGUGUUCCUCAAUUAAAUGCUAGACCAAAAUUAAUUCCAUUAAGGUAGAUUUCUUUCAGGUUUUCGCAUGCCUACAGUAACUUAAAUAAUCUGAAGAUGUAAACUUCCAUAUCCUACCUAACUAAAUCAGGGACGUAAGCAGUCUUCGUGGUUCUAGACCCCUGCAAGCCACAGUCACACUAUGAGGAAUGGAGCAUGAAGUUAAGCAAUGGAGUCUAGAUUGCCUAUCCAUAUAAUUAAGAGAUGUCAGAGGAGACACGCACAGGGAUCCAUGAGCAGUAGGAAGAAAGGCCAUGUUCAAAGUCAGGAUUUGUGACAUUCUGUGCAAAUUAGAGGCCUCAACUCUCCUUGAAUAGCUCUGAGCUUAUUGAUGCUUGGGCCAUCUUGUUCUUAAGAUACUCACCUGUCUCUCCUACUUGUGAGAAUUAACAAGGACUUGAGCAGAAUCCCUAGCUGAAGAAUUUUUCUUGCACAAGGAGUAAUGGAGUACUAGAAUUGACAGUAUUCCUAGAUGUGCAGUGAAGCCAUCCAGAGGACAGAGCAGUUUGUACCUUAUGCUCCAAGCCUGGUUGCUGUUAUGCAAACUACUCAAUCUACCAGUCAUGCAAGCUGCAUUAAUCUCACUGCCAGCUCACCUGUGGACAUAAUUCAGACACUGCAGAUGCUCAGAAAACUUGCCAAACCCACACUUAAAGUUUCUGUCACAGUAUCAAUAUAACAGUCAUUGCUCAAAAGGUCUCUAAGGUAAGAACAUGAAUAUUUUCUCCCAAAAGAACUUAAAUCUUUCUACUUUGAAAAAUAAAUGACUUCUGAAUUGAUUUCUGGUGAUUUAUCUUUGGCUGAAAAUUAAGAUUUUCAUAUUUAUUGAACACAAAGUUUCAAUAUUCAGCUCAGUAAAAUGUUUCUCUUGCAUGUGCAGUUUGAAUAAAAAAUGUUUCAUAAAUCAUGGAGUGAUACACAGAAAGGGAGAUGAUACAACAAUUAUACUAGGUAGCAGCUAGUAAGAUUUAUCCAACCCUCAUGAAAUAUGUGUCCAGGGAAAAGACAAAAAAUAUGCACCCUGGGUAGAGCAGUCACUCAUAUUUAUACCACAAAGUUAUGAAUGGCUGUCUUCCCGCUUGUGCAAAAAUAUUGUUAGCAGAGUAGAAGCAGUAUGGAUAAGCAUUCAUUGAUGACUGGGAAGGCAAGGAAAUGAAAAGUGAAAUGGAUGGCUUAAUUAGCAUGUCUCACCUGUCCUGUAAUGAAAGAAAUGCAGUACAUUGUUUUGAUAAAAAUUCCUAACAUUUGUAUUUGUCUCUGUUGUCCUGUCCUAGAGACUUGGAGUAAGUUUGUUCUUCAGCCCCCUGACUAAGAACCUACAGAACAGAUAGCUGGUACUUCUCUCUGUUCUGUGCUAGUUGUAUAGGUUAGGACUUCAGGAUUUGCCAGUGGCAUGGGUAAACGCCUUUAAUCCAAGCAUUCAGGAAGUAGACACAGGCAGAUCUCUGUGAGUUUGAGACCAGCCUAGUCUACAAGAGCUAGUUUCAGGAAAGCCUCCAAAGCCAGAGAUAAACCCUGUUUCACAACAAAACAAAACAAACAAAAAACAUCAAAACAAAACAAAAAAUCCAAACAAACAAAGAAACAAAGGACUUCAGGAUUCAUCUAAAUCACAUCUGUAUGACCUAACAGGGCAAUGGACAAAUGGACUAAAGGAUGCACUGAACACAUUUACAUUAAGCCUUUAGCCUCUCACUUUCUAUAUUCAGUUUCUAGAGGUCUAGAAUUUCAUAUGUUCUAUUUAUCAUCUAAGUUUACUGCUUUAAUUUCCUGGACUAGACCAGCAUCAUCCUUGGCAUGGACAAUAAAUACAUCCUUUUUCUGACUGUAUUAUCCAUGUUUUUAUCCACAUAGACUGCUUGUAGGUUCAUUGGAUAUGAAGCAUAUCUGUAAACCCAACAAUCCGUAGGCACAGUAAGGAGACUAUGUCUCAAAACCAAGACAAAUAAGGCAAAUAACAAACACAAAAUAGCCUUGAACACACUGUUAUAACUUUAGCAAAUACAUGCCCUAUGACUUACAAUCCCCACAAUUAGGCAUCUGCAUUAUUUUUCUCCAUAUUAGAAAAUUGAAAGACCAAAAGAUGACAUUAUUAAUGAGUUUUUCAGUAAAAUAGACACCAUUAAGUUGUGUCUUUGGUGAAAUGUAGAACAUGUUUGCUGUAUUUCUAAAAACACAUUAUAGGGUCCACCCUGGUAUCUCCAAAUCUUCCAUGCUUGUCUCUUCUGGACCUGCUGUAUGGAUCAGGUACUCUCCAGCUCUGUUUCAAAAGUAAUAUUUGUAUCAAGUUUCUCCUUCUACGGUAUCAUUUUUUUCUGUUAGUGUAGUUUGUUAACUCCUCUCUUCCAGAUGCCCAAGUUAUCAUCAUUGUGCUUUAUACAACAUGAGUUGUUGGUUAUUUUUUAAAUUAUCUAUUUAAAAUUUGAUUUAUACAAUAUAUUUUGAUAAUUUUAUUUCACCUCCCCCAACCUCUCCUGGCUCCUACUCUCCUCCCUUCCCACUUAACUUUGUCUUCUUUCUUAAUGUCUCUCAACUCCAAGAAGAAACAACCCGUUAACAUAAAGAAAAAUAUCAAAACAGAUAAAUGAUCAGAAAAAAAUGAAAAAAAGCAACAAGAAAAAAAGUACUUCACACAUAACACAAAGUGACCAAAAAGAUGGAAUUUUUGUGUUGAUUAGCUGCUCCUGGGCAUAGGAAAUACCUGGAGUGUGAUUAAUACCCCAACAACACUCUUUUGUAGAAAAUUGAUUUCCCCUUUCCUGAUAAGUAUAAAUUACUAAUAGGGUAAAUUAUACCUUUAGGGGUGGGAUAUUGUGUUUACUUCCCUUUAUCAGUGCUGAGAGACUGGUUUGAAACUGUAUAGGUCUUGUGAAUGCUACCAUAGUCUCAGUGAGUUCAUGUGUGAAUCAGUCCUGCUGUGUUUGGAAUACAGUUUCCUUGGAGUCAUUAACAACCUACGGCCCUUACAAUCUUUCUGCCCCCUCUUCCACAUAGAUUCUAGAGUCCUGAAGAGAAGGGUUUGAUGAAAACCUUCCAUGUAGGCCAAAUGUUCCAAAAUCUCUCACUCUCUACCCAUUGUUCAGUUGUGGUUUUCUGUUAAUUACCAUCAACUACAGGAAACUUGGCUGAGGAAGGAUAAGCCAUGCUUUUGUCUGGCUUCCAGAGUAGUGUGGCAACUGUCAGGAAUUUUCAUUCUAGUGUUUCUAGUCUUGCUACAGACAACAUCAGGACUCACUGGGCAGAGAGACUCUAUGUUGCAACUCUAUCACAGCAAUAGGGUAGCACAAGUCUGUUACAAUUACAUUUGAAAGUUAAAGCUUGAGCAUAGAAAUUUAUUUUCCUAACCUUAGAACAACUAAUACUCAGGAAUUAGACAGAGAACUAUGUUAGUAUAGAAUAUCAAACUGUGUUGAUAGAGAGGAAAGAAGGAGGAAAGGAAGGUUAGAGAGACAGUCAGACAGAGAAACUGACUGAUGGACAGAGACUAACGGUAAAAUUCCUAUUUCCCUUGCUUGUUUCCCCUCCUAUAUUGUAAUUUCCCCAUAUCAAUGGGCAUCACCCAAUGCUUCACAAACACUGUACAGGAAUCUAAACCGAACAUUUCCAACUCACAUUCUAGCCUGCUAUCAACAACCACAGAACAGACAAAAUAGUAUACUGCAGUGCAAAGCCAAGCAGUUCUAAUCUUAAUGGUAUUAGAACCCCUGCAUCCUGAAUGAGUUUGCUUUGGUGCUUCUACUUUUCAUGGAAGUGUGCAUGCAUGUUGGGGAUGGUGGACAUGAUUAAAUCCUUUCAGGACAGUUGAUUCGGGAAGGGCAGGAAACGUGUGCAUUGUUAUAAUGUUCAGCAGUAUUUAAGGCUUAUCAAAUCUUUCAGAGAUUUCUAAUGGAAGUUGAAAGUCAGUGCCCCAUGACUUUGAAGUGACUGUACAGCUUCUGAUGUGCCAUCAUCUGAAAUUUUCAUAUAAUAAUCCAGAGGGAAAUAAAAGGUUAGAAAAUGUGCUGUGUGAGAAAGUGAAAGCUUUCUGUAAAGGCAGGGUACCAAACAUUGAAAAUUAGUGUUUCUUCUGCAGUAUGUUAAGAGGACCUCAAAGGAGAAGCUUUCAUAACUAAUUUUGUUUGAGGGGGUAGUUUUUACUGUGUUUCAUAUUUUACCUAUAAAAGACAAAAACAAAGAAAAAAUAAAGAAACAUCUAACAUAUUAUGGAAAAAAACAAAAUGAAAACUUUAACAGUAAUGUUUCUAGCAGCAUUUUACUACAGAAAAAUCUGCAGGAGUAUCAAAAAAUACAUCUUUGUUCAUCUUCCAUUAAGUUGUUUAGAAAGUACAUGAUGUUAGUCAAAUACCAUAUUCUCCUUAUACUAAGUGUCUGUUCUCUUUCUAUUAAACAGAAGUCUUUUCAGGACACACUUAUACAAGGAUUGAAAAGUAUACUAUGAUAUUUGUCCCGUACUAAAUAAAACUUUAUGUGAGUGUAUUCACCUCAAUUUAUAUAAAAAACAUUAGUAUCCUUAAUGCUUACUUACAAUCAUACAUCACUUAUUCCCGAUUUAAACAGUCAUUCAUUAUUGCACAGUGUAAACUCUUGUCAAAAAUUUACUGUUUGUACUAUUUUAUUGGAAAACAUGACUCAGCUCACAUAUUUCCAUUAAAUGACCUCCCCUUUCCCUAAGCAUUUAUAAAUUUGAUACAUUUCUAUUCAUAUAAUUUUUUCUUCAAUUAAACUUCUAUGUAUUCCCUCUUUUAGGUUGAUACAUCCCUCUGUACCUGUCGAUUAGUCGUAAUAAAGUAUGUUUUACUCUGGAAA